CCUCCACCACCUAUUGUUUUUAUUUUUAUAUGUUCCUUAGUAUUAUUAUUAUCAGAACAUAGAAGCACGCAUCCACACCCAAAUACCAGAAGAAAGGGAUCGUGGUGUUGGUUUGAAGAAAGAAGGGAAGCCCAGUUGUUAGAGAGAGGGAUCUGAGUCAAAAGGAUUCUGUUUCUUUUGUUUUUGUUGGGUUUAAUUUGGGAUAUCUGUUGGUUUCGUUUUAUAGGAUUGUUUAGGUGUUACAGAAAGAGAUUAUGGCAGUGCAAGCUCAGUUUCCAUUGUGUGGCUCUCAGGAUUGGAUGAUGGAUAAUGGUUGUGGUGGUGGUGGUGGUGGUGGUUUAAACCAUUAUUAUUAUUCGUAUCUACAACAGCAGCAGCAAAAGCAGCAAAAGCAUCAACAGCAACAACAGCAACUGCAACUGCAACUGCAACAGCAACAGCAACAAUGUAAUAUGCAGCUGUUACAGAACCAUCAGUUCAAGAAUCAAAAUCUUGGGUUUGCCAAUAAUAAUGAUAAUACUAGUGUUCUUGAUUCUUCUCUUUUGAAAAACAGCACUAAUCAUCAUCUAUCAAUGGCUUAUUCUCAAAACAUGGCUGCCUAUGAUGAAAAACAAAGACAAGAGAUUGAUCAGUAUAUCAGAUUACAGAAUGAGAGAUUGAGAUUGGCAUUGCAAGAGCAAAGCAAACAACAUUUGGCAUCAUUGAUGAAGAGAAUAGAAUCAAAGGCGCUUCCUUUAUUAAGACAAAAAGAUGAGGAAAUAGCACAAGCAGCUAAAAGAACAACAGAACUUGAAGAUUUCUUGAAAAGAAUAGAAAUGGAAAACCAAGCAUGGCAAAGGAUAGCACAAGAAAAUGAAGCAAUGGUUAUAUCUCUCAACAACACAAUUGAUCAAUUGAGGGAAAAGGCAUCGUGUUGCUUUGAUAAUGGAGCGGAGGAUGCAGAGUCUUGCUGUGAUUUAAACAGAGAAGAAGAAGCAGAGGAAACAGAGCAAAGAAACAGAGUGUUCUUCAAUAAUGAGAAUAACAAUGAGAAGAAGAAGAUGGUAUGCAAGGCCUGCAACUCUAGCGAUUCGUGUAUUUUGUUCCUUCCUUGUAGGCACCUUUGUUCAUGCAAAGCUUGUGAAGCUUUUCUUGAUUCUUGCCCUCUUUGUAAAACAGUAAAGAAAGCUAGCAUUGAGGCUUUGAUAGUUUAGAUUUUCUAGGCAAAGGGAACAGACAGUCAGAAACCCGAUUCAAUGCCUUGUAUGCGGGGCAUUGGCAUUUGGUCUCAUAUUGGUAGAUUUCUAGUUUUAGUUUUGCUCUCUUUUAGAUGUUUGUUGCCUUUUCAGGGAACCCUUUUGUAUUUAGAUAUUAAAUUGUACUUUAAAAUCAUGCAAGCAAGAAUAUCAAUCACAAUAUUGAACAGAAAUUACAAGACAAGAAGAAAGGAAAAAAAAAUGAAAGUGUGUCUACACAAAUUCAGUGACUGGGAAGUCUGAAAAGGAAAUAAAAAGAGAAAUCUGCCAAGCCAAGUUUAGACAGAACAAGUAUGCAACAGCUAACAGGUAGGACAGAGACAAUCCUUUCCCUUCAAUUCUUAUGCGCUACAAAAUCCAAGUUUGCCUCUUUUAGAUGUUAUUCUCUUUUUUUCCCUUUCUUCUGUCAAUCACUCAAAUUAAGCAUUUAUUUGACAGAAUUUACCCCUUA